AGGGGUUUGUUCCUGGGCUCAGGACGAACGCUGACGGUGUGCUUUAGGCAUGCAAGUCGAACGAGAAAGCCCUUCGGGGUGAGUAAAGUGGCGAACGGGUGAGUAACACGUGGGCAACCUGCCCCUCGCAGGGGAACAACCGGAGGAAACUCCGGCUAAUACCCCGUAAGCUUUCAGGGUCGCAUGGCCUUGAAAGGAAAGGUAGCUUCGGCCAUCCGGCGAGGGAUGGGCCCGCGGUGCAUUAGCUAGUUGGUGGGGUAAAGGCCCACCAAGGCGACGAUGCGUAGCUGGUCUGAGAGGAUGAUCAGCCACACUGGGACUGAGACACGGCCCAGACUCCUACGGGAGGCAGCAGCCAGGAAUCUUGGGCAAUGGGCGAAAGCCUGACCCAGCAACACCGUGUGGGCGAUGAAGGCCUUCGGGUCGUAAAGCCCUGUUGAUAGGGACGAAGGGCGAAGGGUUAAUAGCCCCUAGCCUGACGGUACCUUUCGAGGAAGCCCCGGCUAACUACGUGCCAGCAGCCGCGGUAAUACGUAGGGGGCGAGCGUUGUCCGGAAUUAUUGGGCGUAAAGAGCGUGUAGGCGGUUCGGUAAGUCUGUCGUGAAAUCCUGGGGCUCAACCCUGGGCGUGCGAUGGAUACUGCCGGGCUAGAGGGUGGUAGAGGCGAGUGGAAUUCCCGGUGUAGCGGUGAAAUGCGCAGAUAUCGGGAGGAACACCAGUAGCGAAGGCGGCUCGCUGGGCCACACCUGACGCUGAGACGCG
rnacentral:rRNA from 1 species